AUCCGCUGCUUUGCCAGUUCGACCCCAAAAAAUCGUUUGCCAUACACUGAGCUGAGCAGGAAAGCUCGAAUCAACGAACAGGGACUUAGAGAUGGCGUUUAUAAUGGAGUUUGCUGAGAAUUUGGUAUUGAGGCUAAUGGAGGACCCUAAGGAGAGGGAUAGGAAGUUCAGGGAGCACGUGUAUGCGGUGAAGGACCGGUGCCAAAAGACCAAGGACAUGUGGGCGCUACCCCUCCGUCCCUACGGAUUUUGGACCUUUGAGCGCCAUAAUUCGCAGCUCCGUUGGGAUGCUCAGAUUAGCCAGGUUGAGGGCCGGAGGGAUCCUUAUGAUGAUCUCCUCGAACACAGCAAUGAUCUCGUCACCCCCAAAACUAAAUGAGUGCAUAAGGUCAAGCCAUCUGCAUAAUUCAGGUUGAGGCUUCUGUUGCAGUUGGGAAUUUGGUGUUGUCGUAAAAUGAUGUUCGGUUUUAAUGUUUAUUCAAGAUUGGUCUCUGUUUGAAUAAGAGUCCCAUGUAUCUUCGAUGUUGCGGAAGAAAACAUUUAAUGCGUUAAUUCUACAAGUUUUCUGUUAUCGUACAAUCUUUGGGUUUCCAUUGGCUUUAGUUUGGGAUUAUGCAGACAACACGAAAUAAAAGUUUGAAUUAGUUUUUUUUGUCAC
rnacentral:sRNA from 1 species